rnacentral:rRNA from 1 species
GUCCUUUAGGUAAUUAUAAUUUAAGGUCUAACCUGCCCAUUGAUAAGUUAAAAGGCCGCAGUAAUUUGACUGUGCAAAGGUAGCAUAAUCAUUAGUUUUUUAAUUAAAAGCUUGUAUGAAUGGUUGGACGAGAUAAAAUCUGUCUCUUUAUAAAAAAUAGAAUUUAAUUUUUAAGUUAAAAAGCUUAAAUUUAUAUAAAAGACGAGAAGACCCUAUAGAUCUUUAUAAAAUUUUUUUUAAUAUUAAUAAAGAAAUUUUAAUUUAUUAUAAAAAUUUUUAUUAUAUUGGGGUAAUAAAAAGAUUAAUAUAAUUCUUUUUUUUAAUAACAAUUAUUAUUGAUUAUAUGAUCCAUUAUUAAUGAUUAUAAGAUUAAGUUACCUUAGGGAUAACAGCGUAAUUUUUUUAGAGAGUUCUUAUCAAUAAAAAAGUUUG